rnacentral:lncRNA from 1 species
CCCUCGGCCGCCGCGCAGGCUCCCCGCCUGGCGGGGGAAGGCAGCGCUCGUCUCCGCGCCGCCCGGCAGGAAGCCCGGGGAAGGCCGCCACGAACGCCUGCGCCCCGGAGAUCGCGCCCGGGAGUCCGGGCCCGUUCCUUUUCUUCUCUGGACUCGUUUGGUCUCCACGCUGCUUCUGUCACGACAGGUGCUGGGAAAACAGCAUCAAGAAGACAGAUAAAAAUCCCGGUUCUCAGGAAGCUUAUAUUCUGGUGGAUAGAGGCUGAAAACAAACAUAUUCAUUCCGCUGCUUCCUUGCUACUGAUGAAUAUUCACCUUGCUGUCAGCAUUGUGCUGUUAUAAAUGGUAUAAAGAUGAGGACCGGCAGGGCAGGAGGUGAAGGAAGCGGCUCAAGUGUACACAGCAGGUGGGAAGGAGCAGCUAAAGCAGAUCCAAGGUCAAGGAGCUGUCCAGGCAGAAGAAUUGUGACACCUCCGGCUGAACAGUGGCCCCCAACCGUCGCCAGGUCCUAAUCCCUGAGCUCAGUCUGAGCCUCAGCGCACCCUGACGUGCCCGCUGGUCCAGAAUCUAAUCAGGAGACAGAACCAACGCAGGUUACUUCCGCAGGGAGAGGAGUCAGAUGCUGGAGAAAUGAAAAGGUUUGAAGGCGCAUGCAGGUGUCCAGGAGGCAGUAACUGCAGAAACCAGGUGCCACCCUAGGGCUGGGGCGACCAAGGGAAGAGCUUGUCAGUAAGAAAACGGAACCCCGAAGGAGCUGUCCCCGGACUCAGACUCCGAUCUCAGCCUUUGUGAGGUGGUUGAUGCCUUUGACGGGGUGCUGACCCUAGAAAAGCUGCAAAGGGGGUUCAGCAGCUACUGAUGCGGUAAACUGCCCUCACUGGAAGAUGCGUGGCCGGGGCUCCGCUGAGGGGACCAGGAAGCAGAAGCCAAGGAGAAGCCCUUCAGCCUUCAAGCCUCCCUCCAGUGUCUCCUCCUGGCCGGCAGAUUUGAGCCCACAGCCAGGUGCCAAGGGAGAAAGUACUUUUCCUGUGUUGGCUCAGCCCGAGCACCACUGGGCAGAGUCUGGAAGGGGGGGGUUGAGGCCAAGAAGUAGGAGCUUAAUCAUAUCUGGAGUGAAAGGUAAGUGACAUGCCCCCUCCCCUCCGCCGCCAGCCCCGCUCCCCUUCUUUUUUAGCCCAACGUUCUGGCUCCAAAGAAGCUUUGAGCUGGUUUCCAAUAAAAGCACAUACUAACCAG